rnacentral:lncRNA from 1 species
GUUUUGAAUUUAUUUUUAUAGUAUUUUUGAAGCCAUACCGUUCAAUGUCUAAAAUAUACUAGAAUGUUUGUUUUUUUUCUGGGGAGAGAAAUACUAUAACACAUUUAAAGUCGAACCGAUAACUUUGUAUAACUAACAUUUUUUAUUCUCUAUUCUUAAAAAAAAUAUAUUGGACGAUAAAAAAUUUUGCAAGUUGGUAGAUUGAUAUAAAAAGAUGUGGUAUGAGUGCAAAUGAGAUAACUCUCCAUCCAAGUCACAAUUUAUAAAAGUAAACCCUUAUAAGUCAAGGUACGGUCUUCAACAUGAAGCCUUGGCUUACACCAAACAGCAAGCUAUAAAGUGCCCCGAAAAAUUACUAGAGCAUGCAGAAAAC